UAGACGAAGCUGAAACUCAGCACCUAACUGUUAAUUAGGAGGAUGCCUCGGGCCGCCUGCG
rnacentral:tRNA from 1 species